rnacentral:lncRNA from 1 species
GCUCUGAAUACCACUUGAUACAUCAAGGUUUGAUGUAAGCUUGUAGAUCCGUGAGAGGAGGGCCUAGGAGAAGAGAAACCAGCGGUGGAAAUGAAUGGAACAGUACCAGGCAAAUGCAGGUUGGUGACGGUAGUAGCAACCAGAUCCGGAUGGAGGAAUUUGGUAGGAAGGCAGCGGAUGAAAGUGUUUAUCAGAGAUGGAUUGGAGCGGAGGCUAGCUUGAAGAGAUGUCUACAACUCAGACGGCUUCCACAAGAGGAAGAAAGUUGCAAUGGAGAAACAAGCUAUGGAGUGACUCUUGGAAAAGAGAAAAUGACUAAGCAUUUCAGCAGAGUUUUUCUAUGAUCAUCCAAAAGUGGAGUACAAAGGUUGCCUUGGAGGUUUU